rnacentral:tRNA from 1 species
UCCCUGAUGGUCUUGCGGUUAGGAUUCCUGGCUCUUACCCAGGCGGCCCGGGUUUGACUCCCGCUCAGGGAG